rnacentral:tRNA from 1 species
GCGAGCGUGGCGGAACUGGUAGACGCGCUAGGCUUAGAACCUAGUGGCCUUGGUCGUGGGGGUUCGAGUCCCUCCGCUCGCA